UGGGGGGGGUGCUUACCAUGCAGUCGACGAUGAACCACUUCGGUGGGGAUUAGUGGCGAACGGGUGAGUAACACGUGGGCAAUCUGCCCUUCACUCUGGGACAAGCCCUGGAAACGGGGUCUAAUACCGGAUAACACUUCCACUCUCCUGGGUGGAGGUUAAAAGCUCCGGCGGUGAAGGAUGAGCCCGCGGCCUAUCAGCUUGUUGGUGAGGUAAUGGCUCACCAAGGCGACGACGGGUAGCCGGCCUGAGAGGGCGACCGGCCACACUGGGACUGAGACACGGCCCAGACUCCUACGGGAGGCAGCAGUGGGGAAUAUUGCACAAUGGGCGAAAGCCUGAUGCAGCGACGCCGCGUGAGGGAUGACGGCCUUCGGGUUGUAAACCUCUUUCAGCAGGGAAGAAGCGAAAGUGACGGUACCUGCAGAAGAAGCGCCGGCUAACUACGUGCCAGCAGCCGCGGUAAUACGUAGGGCGCAAGCGUUGUCCGGAAUUAUUGGGCGUAAAGAGCUCGUAGGCGGCUUGUCACGUCGGGUGUGAAAGCCCGGGGCUUAACCCCGGGUCUGCAUUCGAUACGGGCUAGCUAGAGUGUGGUAGGGGAGAUCGGAAUUCCUGGUGUAGCGGUGAAAUGCGCAGAUAUCAGGAGGAACACCGGUGGCGAAGGCGGAUCUCUGGGCCAUUACUGACGCUGAGGAGCGAAAGCGUGGGGAGCGAACAGGAUUAGAUACCCUGGUAGUCCACGCCGUAAACGGUGGGAACUAGGUGUUGGCGACAUUCCACGUCGUCGGUGCCGCAGCUAACGCAUUAAGUUCCCCGCCUGGGGAGUACGGCCGCAAGGCUAAAACUCAAGGAAUUGACGGGGGCCCGCACAAGCAGCGGAGCAUGUGGCUUAAUUCGACGCACGCGAGACCUUACCAGGCUUGACAUACACCGGAAACGUCUGGAGACAGCGCCCCUGUGUCGUGUACAGUGUGCAUGCUGUCGUCAGCUCGUGUCGUGAAUGUGGGUAGUCCCGCACGAGCGCAACCCUUGUUCUUGUGUGCAGCAUGCCCUCGGGUGAUGGGAACUCCAGGAACGCGGUCACUCGAGAGUGGACGACUUCAGUAUCUAUGCCCUAUAGUCCUGGCUGCACACUGCGCUCUCA
rnacentral:rRNA from 2 species